GAUGAACGCUAGCGGCAGGCUUAAUACAUGCAAGUCGAGGGGCAGCGCAGUGUAGCAAUACAUGGGCGGCGACCGGCAAACGGGUGCGGAACACGUACGCAACCUUCCUUUAAGUGGGGGAUAGCCCAGGGAAACUUGGAUUAAUACCCCGUAAUAUUAUGAAGUGGCAUCACUUUAUACUUAUAGCUCCGGCGCUUAAAGAUGGGCGUGCGACUGAUUAGGUAGUUGGCGGGGUAACGGCCCACCAAGCCUGCGAUCAGUAACUGGUGUGAGAGCACGACCAGUCACACGGGCACUGAGACACGGGCCCGACUCCUACGGGAGGCAGCAGUAAGGAAUAUUGGUCAAUGGACGCAAGUCUGAACCAGCCAUGCCGCGUGGAGGAUGAAGGUCCUCUGGAUUGUAAACUUCUUUUAUUUGGGAAGAAACCCACUGUUUCUACGGUGGUUGACGGUACCAGAUGAAUAAGCACCGGCUAACUCCGUGCCAGCAGCCGCCGCAGUAA
rnacentral:rRNA from 1 species